rnacentral:rRNA from 1 species
UACGUAGGGGGCAAGCGUUGUCCGGAAUUAUUGGGCGUAAAGAGCGCGUAGGCGGCUCGUUAAGUGUGAAGUGAAAUCUCCAGGGCUCAACCCGGAAACUGCUUUACAUACUGGCGAGCUGGAGUGAUGCAGAGGUUUGUGGAAUUCCUGGUGUAGCGGUGAAAUGCGCAGAUAUCAGGAGGAACACCGGUGGCGAAGGCGGUUCUCUGGGCAUGUCCUGACGCUGAGGAGCGAAAGUGUGGGGAGCGAACAGG